CCUACGGGAGGCAGCAGUGGGGGAAUCUUGCGCAAUGGGCGAAAGCCUGACGCAGCCAUGCCGCGUGAAUGAUGAAGGUCUUAGGAUUGUUAAAAUUCUUUCACCGGGGACGAUAAUGACGGUACCCGGAGAAGAAGCCCCGGCUAACUUCGUGCCAGCAGCCGCGGUAAUACGAAGGGGGGCUAGCGUUGCUCGGAAUUACUGGGCGUAAAGGGAGCGUAGGCGGAUAGUUUAGUCAGAGGUGAAAGCCCAGGGCUCAACCUUGGAAUUGCCUUUGAUACUGGCUAUCUUGAGUAUGGGAGAGGUUAGCGGAACUCCGAGUGUAGAGGUGAAAUUCGUAGAUAUUCGGAAGAACACCAGUGGCGAAGGCGGCUAACUGGCCCAUUACUGACGCUGAGGCUCGAAAGCGUGGGGAGCAAACAGGAUUAGAUACCCUGGUAGUCCACGCCGUAAACGGAUGAGUGCUAGUGUCGGCAUNCAUNNAUGUCGUGCGCAGCUACGACAUAGCACUCCGCCGUGGAGGUACGGUCGCGAGAGUAAACGUAACUAAGUAGUUAAGUUAGUAGUUACGUUGUAGACGNGCCGACGGACGACGACGAGGGAGGAGG
rnacentral:rRNA from 1 species